rnacentral:rRNA from 1 species
GAUGAACGCUGGCGGCGUGCCUAAUACAUGCAAGUCGAGCGAACAGACGAGGAGCUUGCUCUUCUGACGUUAGCGGCGGACGGGUGAGUAACACGUGGAUAACCUACCUAUAAGACUGGGAUAACUUCGUGAAACCGGAGCUAAUACCGGAUAAUAUAUUGAACCGCAUGGUUCAAUAGUGAAAGACGGUUUUGCUGUCACUUAUAGAUGGAUCCGCGCCGCAUUAGCUAGUUGGUAAGGUAACGGCUUACCAAGGCAACGAUGCGUAGCCGACCUGAGAGGGUGAUCGGCCACACUGGAACUGAGACACGGUCCAGACUCCUACGGGAGGCAGCAGUAGGGAAUCUUCCGCAAUGGGCGAAAGCCUGACGGAGCAACGCCGCGUGAGUGAUGAAGGUCUUCGGAUCGUAAAACUCUGUUAUUAGGGAAGAACAAAUGUGUAAGUAACUAUGCACGUCUUGACGGUACCUAAUCAGAAAGCCACGGCUAACUACGUG